UACGGAGGGGGCUAGCGUUGUUCGGAAUUACUGGGCGUAAAGCGCACGUAGGCGGCUUGGUAAGUUAGAGGUGAAAGCCCGGGGCUCAACCCCGGAACUGCCUUUAAGACUGCAUCGCUUGAAUCCAGGAGAGGUGAGUGGAAUUCCGAGUGUAGAGGUGAAAUUCGUAGAUAUUCGGAAGAACACCAGUGGCGAAGGCGGCUCACUGGCCUGGUAUUGACGCUGAGGUGCGAAAACGUGGGGAGCAAACAGG
rnacentral:rRNA from 1 species